GAUGAACGCUGGCGGCGUGCCUAAUACAUGAAAGUCGAGCGAACAGACGAGGAGCUUGCUCCUCUGACGUUAGCGGCGGACGGGUGAGUAACACGUGGAUAACCUACCUAUAAGACUGGGAUAACUUCGGGAAACCGGAGCUAAUACCGGAUAAUAUAUUGAACCGCAUGGUUCAAUAGUGAAAGACGGUUUUGCUGUCACUUAUAGAUGGAUCCGCGCCGCAUUAGCUAGUUGGUAAGGUAACGGCUUACCAAGGCAACGAUGCGUAGCCGACCUGAGAGGUUGAUCGGCCACACUGGAACUGAGACACGGUCCAGACUCCUACGGGAGGCAGCAGUAGGGAAUCUUCCGCAAUGGGCGAAAGCCUGACGGAGCAACGCCGCGUGAGUGAUGAAGGUCUUCGGAUCGUAAAACUCUGUUAUUAGGGAAGAACAAAUGUGUAAGUAACUAUGCACGUCUUGACGGUACCUAAUCAGAAAGCCACGGCUAACUACGUG
rnacentral:rRNA from 1 species